AAUCUGGUGUCCUGCUUUUCUUUCUUGCUUCAGUGACAUGCAGCUGAGCUGUCAUUGGUGAGGGUCACCAGUAGUGUGCACCCCAGUGAGUGGCUUCUUAGUGAGUUUUGCCAGCACUACAGAAGCAGCUUUCUAGUGAGAUUUCUCAUCCCAGAAGUAGCUUCCCAGCAAGUUUCACUGCCCCCUAGCUGAUGAGGCUGGUGAUGCUGUUGGUUUCACAGGCUGAAGCUGAAAGAGAAGGAAAGGAGGGAGCUCCAUGAGGAGUUUGGACACCUGAAGCGGGUCCACCAGGAGAAGUGCAAGGUGGUGGAAAGGCACCAGGAACUGGAAGAGGAGACCAAUGCUUUCAACUGACUGAAGGCUGCGGUAGAGGCCUUGCAGUCGCAGGCUUUGCAAUAUCACCUUACAGCAGCCCCUGUGGAAGGCAAGGACAAGAAGAAUCAACACACGCGUGCUUACAUGUCGAGAGUGGACUUUAGACUCUCAUGUGUUCAGUUGUUUGAGUUACACCUUACGACUCUUCUCAUAACAUAGUGUGAGGACAGACUGGGAGCCGGUACCGACUCCAUUGUUUAACAGCCUUGCUUUCCCCUACCCCACCCCAGGUCCAGGUUUCCCCGGGCCUGGCGGGUCACCUCUCUCUAUGCAAACACAUAAAAGCCAUAAAUGCUGGAAUGCAAACCUGAUGAGGUUUCUUCUUCAGAACCAGUGGUUGUUCUUCCAUUUACAGUGUCACUGUUGCUUCAUGGAGGAGUUAGGUGUGGCUCUAGCAAAGGCCCCAGCCAUGAUACUGGGCCUGAUUGUGCAGCAGCUCGUUUGGUGCCAUAGGUGCAGCUGCUGGUCUGGUGGACUUGCUGCAAAAUGUGCUCAUAGUUGCUCAUUUUAACUUUCCAAACCUAGAGCUCAGUUUUAAUAACUUCAAAACUUUAAAACACUUCUAAAUUUUUAUUUUGGCAUCAGUGUAAAGACAAAUAAUAUCCUCUCCUACUGUUUUCAUAAGGAACACACAUUCACUGAUUUAAAAAAAAAAUCACUAAACUUUUCUAAUGUAUAAAACAUCCCUAUAAUACAGAGUGAGAGAUGGGUAAUAAACUUCCUGUAA